rnacentral:rRNA from 1 species
UACGUAGGGGGCAAGCGUUGUCCGGAAUUAUUGGGCGUAAAGAGCUCGUAGGCGGUCUGUUGCGUCGGCUGUGAAAACCCGGGGCUCAACUCCGGGCCUGCAGCCGAUACGGGCAGACUAGAGUUCGGCAGGGGAGACUGGAAUUCCUGGUGUAGCGGUGAAAUGCGCAGAUAUCGGGAGGAACACCGGUGGCGAAGGCGGCGAUCUGGGUCGAUACUGACGCUGAGGUGCGAAAGCGUGGGGAGCAAACAGG